rfam:Parcubacteria bacterium GW2011_GWB1_45_10 TW89_C0013, whole genome shotgun sequence.
UCGCAUUUAAUUAAGGGCAGAUGGUGGAUGCCUUGGGUAGAAGAGGCGACGAAGGACGUGGUGUGGCUGCGAAAAGCUUCGGGGAGCCGCUUAACAGGCUUUGAUCCGGAGAUCUCCGAAUGAGGAAACUCUAUUGAGACAAAUCUCAAUAACUUCCGACUUUAAGUCGGACUGAGCGAACCUGGGGAAGUAAAACAUUUCAGUACCCAGAGGAAAAGAAAACAAGAUAACACAUUUCACUAUCGCAACUCGUGACGAUUUCAAAUCAGACAUUUCGCGAUAGUGAAGUGAGCUAUUCAUUCCCUAAGUAGCGGCGAGCGAAAGGGGAAGAGCCCAAACCACUUGUGCUUCGCACAAGAGAUUUAAGAAUAAUGAUUUAAGAUUUAAGAAAAACUCUUAAUUCCUGAAUCGUAAAUCUUGAUUCUCUCGCGCGGAGUGCGAGAUGGGGUUGCGGGGCCAGAUAACAACAUUUGUUUUUUUGGUAGAAAAAUGUUCUGGAAAGAACAACCAAAGAAGGUGAUAGUCCUGUACUCGAAACUUAAAAAACAAAUCAAUUUGGUUCCCAAGUACCCCGACAAACGAGAGCGUCGGGGGAAUCCGCGAGAACUAUACUCGCAAGGCUAAAUACUCUUCUACACCGAUAGUGAACUAGUACCGUGAGGGAAAGGUGAAAAGAACCCUGGUUAAGGGAGUGAAAUAGAAACUGAAACCAUUAUGCCUACAAGGACUCGGAGCUCUGCCGCAAGGCGGGGUGACGGGGUGCCUAUUGAAGAAUGAGCCAACGAGUUUUUCUUAAUGCUUAAUUUAAUCUCCCGUAGGGAGAGAAGGUAUAGCGAAAGCAAGUGUUAAUAGCGCGCCGUAAAUAUGUUCUCAAAGCUUUGAGCAUAUUUACAUAGCAUUAAGAAAAGACCCGAAGCCAGGCGAGCUACUCUUGGACAGGAUGAGUCCUUCCGAAAGGUUGGAGGAGGUCCGAACUCGUGGGUCGUUUAACGCCCUGGGAUGAUCUGAGAGUAGAAGUGAAAAGCUAAUCGCGCUUGGUAAUAGCUGGUUCUCCUCGAAAUAGCUUUAGGGCUAGCGGUUAUUUUAACUAAUCAUGGGGGUAGAGCACUGGUUGAGACUGUCAGGGAGAAAUCUCGCUGUCUCAGUCAAACUCCGAAUACUGUGAUUAUUGAUAACCAGUCAGACUGUGGGGUCUAAGCUCCAUGGUCAAAAGGGCAUGAGUCAAAAGGGCAUGAACCCUGACUCCCAGCUAAGGUCCCUAAAUCCUUACUCAGUGUAAAAGGUAGUGAUCAGCCGAAGACAGGCAGGAGGUUGGCUUAGAAGUAGCCAUCCUUUAAAGAGUGUGUAACAACUCACUGCCAUAUCGGAUGUCGGACUUCGGACGUCAGCUUUCAGAUUUUUUCUGAUAUCUGAUUUCUGAAAUCCGAUAUCUGAUUGGCUGGUUGCGCCGAAAAUUUAGCGGGGCUAAGUAAGGUACCGAAGCUGGAGAUUUGUUUCGCUUUGCGAAACAAGUGGUAGAGGAGCGUUUUGUAUGCACUGAAGCUUCAGCCGUGAGGCGGAGUGGAGCGUACAGAAGUGAGAAUGUUGGCAUGAGUAACCUACAAUGCCGGUGAAAAACCGGCAGGCCGUAAACCCAAGGUUUCCUGGACAACGACAAUCGAUCCAGGGUUAGGCGGUCCUAAGUCGAUGCUGAAAAGCGCAGAUGAUGGACAGCUGGUUAAUAUUCCAGCCCUUCUUUUUAAAUCGACGGAGUGACGGAGGAAAAAAGGUAAAGCGCAUUAAUGGAUUUGCGUUGUUAUUUUCCAGAACUGACUGUUUGGUAAAUCCGGCAGUCUCAGGUUCGACCAAAAGUUCGGAGAAAGACAGAACAGCCGUUUAGGCGGUUGAACUUUACCGAAGAGCCUUCCCAGAAAAGCUUCUAAGAUUAUUUAAAAAGAAUCCGUACCAAAACCAACACAGGUGGGUGAGGCGAGAAGCCUAAGGCCAACGAGUGAUUGGUCCCUAAGGAACUCGGCAAAAAAGCUGGGCGUAAGUUUGCAAUAUGCCCUGACUCGUCGGAUGUCGGACUUCGGACGUCAGCUUUCAGAUUUUUUCUGAUAUCUGAUUUCUGAAAUCCGAUAUCUGGACGGGCCCGCAGCUAAAGUUUUCUUGGCGACUGUUUACCAAAAACACAGCUCCCUGCGAACUCGUAAGAGGAUGUAUAGGGGGUGAGACCUGACCGAUGCACCAAGGUUAAACCCGGCGCUGACUGUCCCGCUUUGCGGGAUGGAAGGUAACUGGGCGAAGCCCGUGUCAAUGUCGGCCUUAACUAUAAGGGUCCAAAGGUAGCGCAAUUCCUUGUCAGGUAAGAAAGUUGCCUGUCCCGAUGGAGACGUCGGGAGAAAAAUCGGCUAAAAACGGUGAACUCCUCGCUGGAGUUUCGCAUCAAGGGCGAGACAAUGAAGGCAAGAGAAUACCGUGGGAACCCUGGAUUGAAAAUCAGGGACCCCGUAACGACUGGAGUCGCCGCCACUUGGCGGUGACGAAGAUAGCGUAAAAUGAUAAAAUAUUUAUCAUGGAACGUUAUAAUACGCCGACGCUGAACAAAGAGUUAGCCAACUAUAUCUCUGGUUACUCUGAUGGUGAAGGAUGUUUUUGCGUCUCUUUUUCAAAGAGACCGAAACUCUUGAUUGGUUGGGAAGUAAAGCCAAGUUUUGCUGUCGGUCAGAAUUUUGACCGGCGCGAAGUCUUGGACGCAAUGAUGAAGUAUUUCGACUGUGGCUUUCUCCGCCGUGACUACGGGGACAAAACAUUGAAAUACGAAGUCAGGAAACUGGACGAAUUACUUGAAAAAGUGAUUCCUCAUUUCCAGAACUUUCCCUUAAAAUCAUCCAAACAAAGAGAUUUCAUUUUGUUUGCCAAAAUCUGCAAACUGAUGAAAAAACAAAAACACCUGAAGCCGGAAGGGUUUAAAGAGAUUGUUGAGCUGGCUUAUCAGAUGAAUGGCUCCGGAAAACGGAAGCAUUCAAAAGAUAAACUUUUGUCUUUAGUUCAGAUGAAGAUAUAGUCUAUGCUUCUAUGAAAAUAGAAGGUGAACAUGAAGUUCUGACGCGCACGAAAGGUUUAACGACUGAGAAACUGUCUCAGGGACUAGCUCGGUGAAAAUGCGAAUCCAGCGAAGACGCUGGGUACCCGCGGCAAGACGAAAAGACCCCGGAAGCUUCACUGUAGCCUGAUAUUGAUUUAAGUAUCAGACUGCGUAGCGUAGAGGGUAGACUUUGAAGUUCCAAUUUCGGUUGGAAUGGAGUCGUCAAUGAAACACCCUUCUGUUUGAUUUUUAAAUCUAACCCUUGCGGCAAAAACGCAAAGGGACAGUGUUUGGCGGGCAGUUUUUGUGGGGCGCAAUCCUCCUAAAGAGUAACGGAGGAGUUUAUUAAGGUCGGCUUGGGCAGGAUGGACAUCUGCCUGAAAGUGUAAAGGCAU